rnacentral:rRNA from 1 species
UACGUAGGGGGCAAGCGUUGUCCGGAAUUAUUGGGCGUAAAGAGCGUGUAGGCGGCCCGGUAAGUCCGCUGUGAAAGUCGAGGGCUCAACCCUCGAAUGCCGGCGGAUACUGUCGGGCUAGAGUCCGGAAGAGGCGAGUGGAAUUCCUGGUGUAGCGGUGAAAUGCGCAGAUAUCAGGAGGAACACCUACGGCGAAGGCAGCUCGCUGGGACGGUACUGACGCUGAGACGCGAAAGCGUGGGGAGCAAACAGG